AGCUUUGCGCAGUGGCAGUAUCGUAGCCAAUGAGGUUUAUCCGAGGCGCGAUUAUUGCUAAUAUAUUUACCGAAGUUAAAC
rnacentral:snRNA from 1 species